rnacentral:rRNA from 1 species
CCGGUGUAAGCCAGGUUGGUUUCUAUCUUUAAAUAAUAAUAAUAUUUUAGUACGAAAGGAUCAAAUAUUAAAAAUAAUUUUAUAAAAUGAAUAUUAAUAAUGAUAUAGUAAA